rnacentral:rRNA from 1 species
AGAGUUUGAUCAUGGCUCAGAACGAACGCUGGCGGCAGGCUUAACACAUGCAAGUCGAGCGCCCCGCAAGGGGAGCGGCAGACGGGUGAGUAACGCGUGGGAAUCUACCCAGCUCUACGGAAUAACUCAGGGAAACUUGAGCUAAUACCGUAUACGUCCGAUAGGAGAAAGAUUUAUCGGAGUUGGAUGAGCCCGCGUUGGAUUAGCUAGUUGGUGGGGUAAUGGCCUACCAAGGCGACGAUCCAUAGCUGGUCUGAGAGGAUGAUCAGCCACACUGGGACUGAGACACGGCCCAGACUCCUACGGGAGGCAGCAGUGGGGAAUAUUGGACAAUGGGCGAAAGCCUGAUCCAGCCAUGCCGCGUGAGUGAUGAAGGCCCUAGGGUUGUAAAGCUCUUUCACCGGUGAAGAUAAUGACGGUAACCGGAGAAGAAGCCCCGGCUAACUUCGUGCCAGCAGCCGCGGUA